rnacentral:lncRNA from 10 species
CAGGUCGUCCAGGCGCCGGCACCCCCUGCCACCUGGGCCACCCCUGUUGGGCUCUGCUGCCUGGGCCUUCAUCUUCAGCAGUCGCUCUACCGCCACCUGUAAGAGCCAAGGACUAAGAUAGGCAAAAAAUUCGAGGAACCUGGGCCCAUCAAAUAUUCCAAAGUAAGCCUGCUUGGCUGCUAAGCUCAUGCAGGGAAGGGAGGCUGGAAGGGGACGGUACUCACCAGAAUGGCUCCAUAGACUUUGUGUCCAUCUGCUUUGACCUGGGCAUUAGAUACUGAAUAAUCAUCCAGCACAGCCUGCAAGUUUGUCCAGUAGGUGGACAGGUGUGGGUACAGGACUCGUUCUACUGCCUGGAAGGAAGAGAAGGAAUACAGUUAGCAUGUCUUUGAUACUUAUUCCCUCUCAAGGACCCUUUCCCAUGAAAGACCUACCUUUAUCUCUGAUCCUAGACAGGGCUCAAUCCUCCUAAAUUCCCUGAUUGGCAUAUUCAACCAUAUAUUUAUUUGGAACCUACUGUAUACCUAAGCUAGGCAUUGGGAAUAAAGAUAAGGUACAAAGGGAGACAAUAAAAAAUAUACCCAAUAUCACUGCCCUGUGUGCUAAAUAAUGCUCAUUACUGACAACUCCAAAAUUUAGUUUGCAUACUGCUACCCUAUACAAUCAGGCAAGUACUGGCUUCACUUAGAUGUAAACUGAGACUCAGUUCAAACAAUCUGCAUAAAAACAACCAACCAGAGACUUGGACUCUGAUUAUACAAUUUAAAAUCCUGUGAUUGGACAGGCGCUGUGGCUCACGCCUGUAAUCCCAGCACUUUGGGAGGCCGAGGCCAGUGGAUCACCUGAGGUCAGGAGUUCAAGACCAGCUUGGCCAAGAUGGUGAAACCCCAUCUCUACUAAAAAUACAAAAAUUAGCUGGGCGCAGUAGCAGUUGCCUGUAAUCUCAACUACUUGGGAGGCUGAGGCAGGAGAAUCACUUGAACUCGGGGGGCAGAGGUUGCAGUGAGCCGAGAUCACACCACCGCACUCCACCCUGGGAAGCAAAGUGAGACUCCGUCUCAAAAAAAAAAAAAAGAAUUAACUAUAAGGAAAAUACCAGCUGGGCCUAUAAGGAAAAUACCAGCCGGGCGCUGUGGCUCACGCCUGUAAUCCCAGCACUUUGGGAGGCCAAGGCAGGCGGAUCAGGAGGUCAGGAGUUCGAGACGAGCCCUGGCCAGCACAGUGAAACCCCGUCUCUACUAAAAAUACAAAAAAUUAGCCAGGUAUGGUGGUGAGCGCCUGUAAUCCCAGCUACUCGGGAGGCUGAAGCAGGAGAAUCGCUUGAACCCAGGAGGCAGAGGUUGCAGUGAGCCGAGGUCGCGCCAUUGCACUCCAGCCUGGGUGACAGUGUGAGACUCUGUCUCGAAAAAAAAAAAAAGGAAAGAAAAUACCAUGCCAGAAUUUACAAAAGUCUACAGACACUCAAGAAAAAGAUAGGCGAGGUGCAGUGCCUCACGCUUGUAAUCCCAGCACUUUGGGAAGGCCAAAGGAUCACUUAAACCAAGGAGUUUGAGACCAGCCUGGGCAAUGUAGGAAGACCUCAUCUCUAUUAAAUAAAAAAAGAAAAGAAAAAGAUGAUCUAAAUCUUAUUAAAGUAAAUAUAAAAAAGAAAUACUCCCCACAUCAUUCUGUAAGGCCAGUAUAACCCUGAUUCUAAAACCAGACAAGGACAGUACAUGAGAGGAAACAUGUUUAAUUUCACUCCUGAAUAUAAACCCUUUUAAAAUUUAGCAGACCCACAAGUAAAUUAAAAUGCAUUACAGUCCAAUAAAAGCUUUGGGUUUUUUCUUUACGACUAUCCCAUGACAUAGUUUAGUGUAUCAUGGAACUAUAAAGAUUGUUUACUAUCAGGAAAUCUGUAAUAACAUUGGAAAACAAAAGCUGAAAAGCCUUCGGAUCAUUUCAAAAGAU